GACAAGAAAAGCACACAUCACAGACUUGCGUUAUCAGAAUACAACCACAGUCAACUCCAACCAAAGAUGAAAGAUUUCCACUAAAAAAAAGCCAUCAAAAUAUCUUACGACUGCUAUGCAAAACCAAAAACCACCCAGAGAAAAGGUUAGAAUAAAAUAUGCCAAGUCCUCGUAGUGGCUGUCUUUUGAAGGGAAUCUUAAGCCCACUGAUGCCUCUCCAAGAGCUGAAGUUCAGGUGUCACAAUGAAGGACAAGAAGCAAUCUUCUACGUAACACAACCAGACCCACGGCUGAAUCCUUGUUUGACAGUUGACUCUUCCCAAGAGGCCAGUUCUGCAAUAGCAAGCUUGCAGGCCCAAUUCCACACUAUUAGUGCACUGUUGGGUAGAAGCAGGCAGAGAGCAGAGGGAGCUGGUAGGAGUGAGAAGAGACAGCUGCAUACUAGCCCUUGGGGUUACUCCUCCAUUCUAACUUUAAAAAGAGUCAGUCAGCAGAAAGGAACAUAUGGGAAGGUCUCUUGGAUCAGUCAGCAGAUUGUAUGCUGGAAUCAAGAGCCUAACUACUGCACUCUUCCCAUACAAGUGGCUUCCCAUACACAGAGGCUUCCUAAGCCCACCAGGCCUGGACUCCAUAAAAUCAUUUCCCACAUGCCUUUUCUAGAUUGUUCUCCUUAAAAUCAUUUCCUUACCUCAAGUAUAAGCAGAAUGUGCUUGCCCCCAGAAUUCAUAUUUGGGGAUGAAUGUAUUAUUGGCAUGCCCACUUUCAUCAAACUUUCAUCAAAUGCACAAGAAUGGUAGUUAUGAAGCUUCAGUUUUAUCCUACACCCCAUUAUAUAUUGUUCAGAAAGCCUUAUACUAUUAUUAAGAUCUAAACUGAAUCGACGGUUACUCAGAUCAUCUACUAGGCACCAUAUCUUCUUUGAAUUCAAAUACAUCAGAAAAGAUAAUAUUAUAAAUUUAGUAGAAAAAAAUCACUGUUUACAAGAAUCCUCUUUAGUGAUGAAACCUACAACAUAUGUGUUUAGGUCAUUGACGUUUAUGGAAAUAACAGGAGAAAACACAUUUUGAUUUAAAAAUACCUGAAAGCAGGUAAAAUGGAUGGACUAAGACAUGGAUUCUGGACCCAGGAGUUAGAAUUUAAAUGCUGGACUUUCUCCAGGUAAUCAGCUUAAGAAAAAAAUGACCCUUGUGGUAUCCUGUAAAACAACCUUCUCCCUUCCCCU
rnacentral:lncRNA from 1 species